rnacentral:ncRNA from 2 species
GGUGUGCGGGACAACUUCAUCCGUACCUGAUCGGGGAAAGCCGGUGGAAAUCCGGCGCUGACCCGCAACCGUAAGGACGGCGGUGCGCACCAGGCGGUGCCCCCGCCGUACGAGCCGGAGCACCCGAUGGGGCACGACCAAGGCU